AACUAACAAGGAUUCCCCUAGUAACUGCGAGUGAAGCGGGAAAAGCUCAAAUUUAAAAUCUGGCAGUCUUUGGCUGUCCGAGUUGUAAUCUAGAGAAGUAUUAUCCGCGCUGGACCGUGUACAAGUCUCCUGGAAUGGAGCGUCAUAGAGGGUGAGAAUCCCGUCUUUGACACGGACUGCCAGGGCUUUGUGAUGUGCUCUCAAAGAGUCGAGUUGUUUGGGAAUGCAGCUCAAAAUGGGUGGUAAAUUCCAUCUAAAGCUAAAUAUUGGCGAGAGACCGAUAGCGAACAAGUACCGUGAGGGAAAGAUGAAAAGAACUUUGGAAAGAGAGUUAAACAGUACGUGAAAUUGCUGAAAGGGAAACGCUUGAAGUCAGUCGCGUUGGCCAGGGAUCAACCUUGCUUUUUUGCUUGGCUUACUUCCUGGUUGACGGGUCAGCAUCAAUUUUGACUGGUGGAAAAAGUUCAAGGGAAUGUGGCAUCUUCGGAUGUGUUAUAGCCUUUGCUCGCAUACAUCGGUUGGGAUUGAGGAACUCAGCACGCCGCAAGGCCGGGUUUUUAACCACGUACGUGCUUAGGAUGCUGGCAUAAUGGCUUUAAUCGACCCGUCUUGAAACACGGACCAAGGAGUCUAACAUGCCUGCGAGUGUUUGGGUGGAAAACCCGAGCGCGUAAUGAAAGUGAAAGUUGAGAUCCCUGUCGUGGGGAGCAUCGACGCCCGGAUCUGACCUUUUUGUGACGAUCCCGCGUUAGAGCAUGUAUGUUGGGACCCGAAAAAUGGUGAACUAUGCCUGAAUAGGGUGAAGCCAGAGGAAACUCUGGUGGAGGCUCGUAGCGAUUCUGACGUGCAAAUCGAUCGUCAAAUUUGGGUAUAGGGGCGAAAGACUAAUCGAACCAUCUAGUAGCUGGUC
rnacentral:rRNA from 1 species